rnacentral:rRNA from 1 species
GACGAACGCUGGCGGCGUGCUUAACACAUGCAAGUCGAACGGAAAGGCCCUGCUUUUGUGGGGUGCUCGAGUGGCGAACGGGUGAGUAACACGUGAGUAACCUGCCCUUGACUUUGGGAUAACUUCAGGAAACUGGGGCUAAUACCGGAUAGGAGCUCCUGCUGCAUGGUGGGGGUUGGAAAGUUUCGGCGGUUGGGGAUGGACUCGCGGCUUAUCAGCUUGUUGGUGGGGUAGUGGCUUACCAAGGCUUUGACGGGUAGCCGGCCUGAGAGGGUGACCGGCCACAUUGGGACUGAGAUACGGCCCAGACUCCUACGGGAGGCAGCAGUGGGGAAUAUUGCACAAUGGGCGGAAGCCUGAUGCAGCAACGCCGCGUGCGGGAUGACGGCCUUCGGGUUGUAAACCGCUUUCGCCUGUGACGAAGCGUGAGUGACGGUAAUGGGUAAAGAAGCACCGGCUAACUACGUGCCAGCAGCCGCGGUGAUACGUAGGGUGCGAGCGUUGUCCGGAUUUAUUGGGCGUAAAGGGCUCGUAGGUGGUUGAUCGCGUCGGAAGUGUAAUCUUGGGGCUUAACCCUGAGCGUGCUUUCGAUACGGGUUGACUUGAGGAAGGUAGGGGAGAAUGGAAUUCCUGGUGGAGCGGUGGAAUGCGCAGAUAUCAGGAGGAACACCAGUGGCGAAGGCGGUUCUCUGGGCCUUUCCUGACGCUGAGGAGCGAAAGCGUGGGGAGCGAACAGGCUUAGAUACCCUGGUAGUCCACGCUGUAAACGGUGGGUACUAGGUGUGGGGUCCAUUCCACGGGUUCCGUGCCGUAGCUGACGCUUUAAGUACCCCGCCUGGGGAGUACGGCCGCAAGGCUAAAACUCAAAGGAAUUGACGGGGCCCCGCACAAGCGGCGGAGCAUGCGGAUUAAUUCGAUGCAACGCGUAGAACCUUACCUGGGUUUGACAUGGAUCGGGAGCGCUCAGAGAUGGGUGUGCCUCUUUUGGGGUCGGUUCACAGGUGGUGCAUGGCUGUCGUCAGCUCGUGUCGUGAGAUGUUGGGUUAAGUCCCGCAACGAGCGCAACCCUUGUUCACUGUUGCCAGCACGUUAUGGUGGGGACUCAGUGGAGACCGCCGGGGUCAACUCGGAGGAAGGUGGGGGUGACGUCAAGUCAUCAUGCCCCUUAUGUCCAGGGCUUCACGCAUGCUACAAUGGCUGGUACAGAGAGUGGCGAGCCUGUGAGGGUGAGCGAAUCUCGGAAAGCCGGUCUCAGUUCGGAUUGGGGUCUGCAACUCGACCUCAUGAAGUCGGAGUCGCUAGUAAUCGCAGAUCAGCAACGCUGCGGUGAAUACGUUCCCGGGGCU